rnacentral:rRNA from 1 species
GGAGUCUGGGCCGUAUCUCAGUCCCAGUGUGGCCGUACACCCUCUCAGGCCGGCUACCCGUCGUCGCCCUGGUGAGCCUUUACCUCACCAGCUAGCUGAUAGGUCACGAGCACCUCCUAAAGCGCUUCACAGCUUUAACCUCUCGGCCUAUGGGGUAUUAGCGUCCGUUUCCAGACGUUGUCCCCCGCUUCAGGACAGCUUCUCAUGUUCUACUCACCCGUCCGCUGCUCCGCUCGCCCUUCCACAUCUCUGCUUCAGUAACGUCGUCGCCCAACUUGCAUGUGUUACGCACGCCGCCAGCGUUUAUC